rnacentral:rRNA from 1 species
CCCUUAGAUGUUCUGGGCUGCACGCGCGCUACACUGAAGCUAUCAACACGUUUUCCCUCCCUGAGAAGGGCGGGUAACCUUUUGAAUCAGCUUCGUGGUAGGGAUCGGGGCUUGCAGUUGUUCCCCGUGAACCAGGAAUUCCUAGUAGACGCGAGUCAUAAGCUCGCAUCGAUUAAGUCCCUGCCCUUUGUACACACCGCCCGUCGCUACUACCGAUUGAACGUUUUAGUGAGGCAUUUGGACCGACGCAUCUCAGUUUAACCGCUGGUUUGUGUUGGAAAGACUUCCAAACUUGAGCGUUUAGAGGAAGUAAAAGUCGUAACA